rnacentral:tRNA from 3 species
GGGCAGAUAGCUCAAUCGGUAGAGCACAGCAUUGAAAAUGCUGGGGUUGCCGGUUCAAGUCCGGCUCUGCCCA